rnacentral:rRNA from 1 species
UAAAAAAUUUUGGCGGUAUUUUAAGCUUAUUAGAGGAAUUUGCUCUGUGAUGGACACAACGCCUUAAUCUUACUUAAUUUAGUAAUUAAAAUCAGUUUGUAUACCACUAUAUUAAUUAUAUUGAAUAGUUAUAUUUAAAAUUUUUUUAAAAAAAUAUAUUAAGUCAAGGUGCAUCUAAUAAUUAUGAAUGAAGUGAAUUACAUUAAUUUUAAUGUAAUUUUUUACAUGAAAAAAUUAAUUAGGAUUUAAUAGUAAAAUACUAAUAUUAUGAGUAUUUGAAUCAAGCUCUAAAAUAUGCACAUAUCGCCCGUCGCUCUCAGAAGUGAGAUAAGUCGUAACAAAGUAAAAAUACUGGAAAGUGUUUUU